AUUCAGAGAACCUGGAUAAAAAUGGGCAUCCUGAGCCAACUCCUCCUUUCCAAAGGAAGAACAAAACAGGAUAGGUGCAGAGACUCAAUGGAAGCUGUUCUAACAAAUGGAGUUGACGAUCUCGCGUUUUUAGUUAUUAAAGGAUGAAGAAUCAACCUAUACGCAGACAUACUUAAAUAUAAAUACUAUAAAUACUACUAGUUAUUAUUUAUUAUUAUUAUAUAUAAUAAAACUAUAACUUAACUAAUAAUUAUAAUUAACUAAUAACUAAUUAAUUAAUAAUUUUUAUUAUAAUUAUAAUAAGAAUAUUAAUAUUCAUUUUUAUGACUAUGAUAUGAAAAGAUGGCAGAAUUGUUGUAAAGCGAUUCCAAGUUGAAGAAAGAAUCGACUAUUCGUUUAAUGUUUAAUAAAUUAAAGCGUUUAGAAGAACCGAUCCAUCGGAUGAGAAUGAAGAUAGAGUCCCAUUCUACGUGUCAAUCCUGACAACAAUGAAAUUUAUAGUAAGAGGA
rnacentral:precursor_RNA from 1 species